UAACCGUGCGAAGGUAGCGCAAUCACUUGUCUUUUAAAUGGAGACCUGUAUGAAUGGCAUAACGAGGGCUUGACUGUCUCCUUUCUCAAGUCAAUGAAAUUGAUCUCCCCGUGCAGAAGCGGGGAUUAACACAUAAGACGAGAAGACCCUAUGGAGCUUUAGACACAAGACAGAUUAUCUUAAUCAACCCAAAAUAAAGGGCGGAACUAGAGAUAAACCUUUCCAGCGUCUUUGGUUGGGGCGACCGUGGGGUAA
rnacentral:rRNA from 1 species